ACGUGAUCUGAGUUCAGACCGGAGCAAUCCAGGUCAGUUUCUAUCUAUAAAGGGCUCUUUCUAGUACGAAAGGACCGAAAAAGCAUGGCCAAUACUCUAUGCAAGCCAUAACUAAAAAUUUAUGAUUUAAACUUAAUAAAUAAUUUACCUAAGACUUCCCCCAAGAAAAGAGG
rnacentral:rRNA from 1 species